rnacentral:rRNA from 1 species
GAUUAGAUACCCCACUAUGCUUAACCGUAAACUUUAAAUUACAACACAAACGCCAGAGAACUACGAGCAAAGCUUAAAACUCAAAGGACUUGACGGUACCCCAUAUCCACCUAGAGGAGCCUGUCCUAUAAUCGAUAACCCCCGCUUUACCUCACCAUUUUUAGUCGUCAGCCUGUAUACCUCCGUCGUCAGCUUACCACGUGAGCGAACCACAGUGAGCCUAAUGUCUACACGUCAACACGUCAGGUCAAGGUGCAGUUAACAAAAUGUGGAAGAGAUGGGCUACACUCUCUAAUUUAGAGGAUACGAAAAACUUUAUGAAACCUAGUUAGAAGGCGGAUUUAGCAGUAAAAAGAAACUAGAGAGUUCUUUUUAAUACGGCACUGGGGUGUGUACACACCGCCCGUCACCCUCUUCAAAAUCUCACUUCAGUAUCUAACUUAUUUCUUACUGCAAGAAGAGGUAAGUCGUAACAUGGUAAGUAUACCGGAAGGUGUGCUUGGAAA